ensembl:lncRNA
CUAAUUUUGUUCUUGUCCCCUAACUGCCAGUUUCAACAGUCAAUGUCUAAAUUAUGCCAAAUAGGCUAUUUACAUGUUUUCUUUCUGCAGUAAAUGGAACAUGAUUCAGCAUUUUAGGAUACCACAUCAGGGACCUGGGGCUGUCCAUCUGGGUGCCAAUAACCAGUAAUCGGCAGGGUUCAUACAGGAUUUUAUAAUAGGAAACAAUUGUUUAUUUUUAUGGUGGGGGAGGGGUUGUACAGAAAAUGAAGAACAUAUCAAAUGUUCCUCAUGAUUGAUAUCAAGCGAAACUGUUGCCCAACAGAAACUACUCCCUCAAGCUCUCCCCUUCCUCUCUCCUCUCUCCUCCCCCUCCUCACCCAAUCUAUCUCUCCUUUUCCCUCUCUUUACUCUCCCUCUCUCACUGACAUUUAGGAUUGUACUUCUGUUGGUCACAUCAGAUUGGGCUCCACCUUGGAAGCUUUCCACUGCAACACUGUAAGUUCCCUAAUCACAGCGCUGUGAGGGGUUAACAGGAGUUAUGGCCCUGAUGUUACACACACACUAAUAUAAAUAUAGAAUUGACUGUACGCAGGCCAUGAUUACACUGAAGACACAUCGAUUAGCACCCUGCAAUCCUCAGAAAUCUCAUUCAUGGUAAACACCACGGAUGUCAUGUUAAUCUAGAAUAAUCUGUAAAUAAUGUGAUAAUGAAUCACAUCAUGAAUGAUAAACAGCUGAUAUCCAGUUGUUCCAGUAAUCAUGCCACUGUGUGGUUAGUCAUCCUAUAAACACAUGCAUAAAUACACAUACACACACAUACGCAAACACACACAUACGCAAACACACACAUACGCAAACACACACAUACACAAACACACACAUACGCAAACACACACAUACGCAAACACAUGCUUAAAUUCAAACGCACAAACACGCACAUGCGCAAACACACAAAUACACAAACACCUACAUGAAAACACACACGCAAACACACGCACAAACACACACAUACACACACACACACUCAAAAAUGCAUGCAUACAGAUAUGCAUACACCCACACACAAAUACACCCACAAACAUGCGCAUACACACUAACACAUAAACGCAUAUGCAGAAAUACACAGAAACACUGAAGCAAACACCUAAUUGUAUAUUCAUGCAUACCCUGACACAUUGGGCUGAGGGAAAACGAUGAACUGAAUCACACAUGUAAGGAAGAUGUGAAACCUAAGAAGAUGAUAACAGAACGUCAUGUACCAAUGUACUGUGGUUUAAAAGCAAGAAGUUUAGGGAAGCAGAAUAUCAGUAUGAGGAGGUGAUGGGCAGCAGAAUAUCAGUAUGAGGAGGUGAUGGGCAGCAGAAUAUCAGUAUGAGGAGGUGAUGGGCAGCA